UGAUGACGAGAGAUUGGACUGUGGUUUUGUUGAUGAGGUCUUAGUUGGCGAUAAUUCUUCUUACGACUAUUACGGUGAUUCAGACUUGGAGACUAUAGAAGAACCUGUUAGAAGAAGACAUGUGAAAUCAGUUGGUAAGAAAAAGAAUGGAUCAGAGGAUGAAGAUGAGAGUGAUAC